rfam:Alphaproteobacteria bacterium RIFCSPHIGHO2_12_FTLL_66_14 rifcsphigho2_12_scaffold_2384, whole genome shotgun sequence.
UCAGACGGCUGGAUGGCUGCGCCGUCGCGGGCAACUGCGGCGGUGAGGAAAGUCCGGGCUCCACGGAGACACGGUGCCGGAUAACGUCCGGCGGGGGCGACCCCAGGGAAAGUGCCACAGAAAACAGACCGCCGGGUUGGCCCGCUUUCGAGCGGUAAACCAGCCAGGCAAGGGUGAAACGGUGGGGUAAGAGCCCACCGCGCGACCGGCAACGGAAGCGGCACGGCAAACCCCACCGGGAGCAAGACCAAAUAGGGGCGACACGCCGGGCAACCGGCAGCGGUGUUUCCGCGCCGUCGCCCGGGUCGGUCGCGCGAGGCGUUCGGCAACGGACGUCCCAGAGGAAUGGCCAUCCAUCGUCCCCGGCUUGCCGUGGACGAGGACAGAACCCGGCUUACAGGCCGUCUGACCCG